rnacentral:rRNA from 1 species
UACAGAGGUCCCGAGCGUUGUUCGGAUUCGUUGGGCGUAAAGGGUGCGUAGGUGGCUAGGUAAGUCGGAUGUGAAAUCCCGGGGCUCAACCCCGGAACUGCAUUCGAUACUGCUUGGCUAGAGUACUGGAGAGGAGAUUGGAAUUUACGGUGUAGCAGUGAAAUGCGUAGAUAUCGGAAGGAAGACCAGUGGCGAAGGCGGAUCUCUGGACAGUUACUGACACUGAGGCACGAAGGCCAGGGGAGCAAACGGG